AAUAUUCUCCUUCUGCCUUGCAUGCAAAGCAGACGAUCCACUCAUUAAAACAAGGCAAAAUGGGACAACUUAAAACAUUUCCUGUCGCUUCAAACAAUUUUUUGUGUCCAUUUAAAGAACUCAAUUUCAGUGAUGCUUUUCUCCCUUGUAAAAUUGCCAUUUAUUGGUGAAUCUUGAAAAUGGCUACAACUUUUCCAACUCUGAAGAUGAACAGUCUGACUUACUGUCUGCUGACUAGGUGAUGGUUUUAUAUUUUUCUUCUAAAUUUUGUAUUAUUAUCUUCAAUAUACUCCUUUUUCAACCGUUCUUCAAUAUUCUCCUUCUGCCCUGCAUGCAAAGCAGACGAUCCACUCAUUAAAACAAGGCAAAAUGGGACAACUUAAAACAUUUCCUGUUGCUUCGAGCAGUUUUUUGUGUCCAUUUAAAGAACUCAAUUUCAGUGAUGCUUUUCUCCCUUGUAAAAUUGCCAUUUAUUGGUGAAUCUUGAAAAUGGCUACAACUUUUCCAACUCUGAAGAUGAACAGUCUGACUUACUAUCUGCUGACCAGGUGAUGGGUCUAUAUUUUUCCUCUAAAUUUUGUAUUAUUAUCUUCAAUCUUCUACUUCUUCAACCGUUCUUCAAUAUUCUCCUUCUGUCCUGCAUGCAAAGCAGACGAUCCACUCACUAAAACAAGGCAAAAUGGGACAACUUAAAACAUUUCCUGUUGCUUCGAGCAGUUUUUUGUGUCCAUUUAAAGAACUCAAUUUCAGUCAUGCUUUUCUCCCUUGUAAAAUUGCCAUUUAUUGGUGAAUCUUGAAAAUGGCUACAACUUUUCCAACUUUGAAGAUGAACAGUCUGACUUACUGUCUGCUGACUAGGUGAUGGUUUAUAUUUUUCCUCUAAAUUUUGUAUUAUUAUCUUCAAUAUACUCCUUUUUCAACCGUUCUUCAAUAUUCUCCUUUUGUCCUGCAUGCAAAGCAGACGAUCCACUCAUUAAAACAAGGCAAAAUGGGACAACUUAAAACAUUUCCUGUUGCUUCAAGCAGUUUUUUGUGUCCAUUUAAACAACUCAAUUUCAGUGAUGCUUUUCUCCCUUGUAAAAUUGCCAUUUAUUGGUGAAUCAUAAAAAUGGCUACAACUUUUCCAAAUCUGAAGAUGAACAGUCUGACUUACUAUCUGCUGACUAGGUGAUGGGUUUAUAUUUUUCCUCUAAAUUUUGUAUUAUUAUCUUCAAUAUACUCCUUUUUCAACCGUUCUUCAAUAUUCUCCUUUUGCCCUGCAUGCAAAGCAGACGAUCCACUCAUUAAAACAAGGCAAAAUGGGACAACUUAAAACAUUUCCUGUUGCUUCGAGCAGUUUUUUGUGUCCAUUUAAAGAACUCAAUUUCAGUGAUGCUUUUCUCCCUUGUAAAAUUGCCAUUUAUUGGUGAAUCUUGAAAAUGGCUACAACUUUUCCAACUUUGAAGAUGAACAGUCUGACUUACUGUCUGCUGACUAGGUGAUGGUUUUAUAUUUUUCUUCUAAAUUUUGUAUUAUUAUCUUCAAUAUACUCCUUUUUCAACCGUUCUUCAAUAUUCUCCUUUUGCCCUGCAUGCAAAUCAGACGAUCCACUCAUUAAAACAAGGCAAAAUGGGACAACUUAAAACAUUUCCUGUUGCUUCGAGCAGUUUUUUGUGUCCAUUUAAAGAACUCAAUUUCAGUCAUGCUUUUCUCCCUUGUAAAAUUGCCAUUUAUUGGUGAAUCUUGAAAAUGGCUACAACUUUUCCAACUUUGAAGAUGAACAGUCUGACUUACUGUCUGCUGACUAGGUGAUGGUUUUAUAUUUUUCUUCUAAAUUUUGUAUUAUUAUCUUCAAUAUACUCCUUUUUCAACCGUUCUUCAAUAUUCUCCUUCUGUCCUGCAUGCAAAGCAGACGAUCCACUCAUUAAAACAAGGCAAAAUGGGACAAUGGACAAGUGAAAACAAUCUAUGGAGACAGUAUGUGCAAUAAAAGGGAAAAUGUCUGGAAAAGUCAGCCAUUUUUUGAAAAAACAAAACUGCCUGCUGCCAAUAUUUUGUUGACCUUUGCAGUUUUGACAGCUGGAGUAACAUGGGAAAAAGUUGAGAGAGUGUUUCGCCACAUAGGAAUGACUCAUAUUUCAAGGUCAGUAUACUUUCAGCAUCAAAAUAUAAUGAGUAGGAUGUUAUAAAAAGCAGGAAAAGAUAUUUCCAGCAGUUUUUUGUUUUGGAAAGAAUAUCAAAAAAAUCAGAUGGAAGAGCUGAAUGGGUGUGAACAUCGUUUGAAAAUGAGCUCAAGAUGGCAGGCAUGAUAGUAUGGGGCACAGUGCUAAAUAUGGGGCAUAUUCCCUGAUUUCUUACAAUCAACCAGCUAUCAUACAUUUCGAACUGGUACAGUUAUGUGAUCCUUCAUGAGUUGAUAUUUAUAAUGUGUACAGCUAGUUUGUACCAAAAUCUUAUAAUGAUCUUGUUCAACAUUUUGUAGCAGGCCUUUUUGGUAUGUGUAUUUAUUGCUGGUAAAGUUCCUUGAAGAGUUCCUUAACUUGGACUGACUGACUAACUAACUUAUUUUUAGAGAAAUGAAGUUGGAAACAACACUGGUCUUGAAUAUGAAGGAUUCAAAAGAUGCUUCAACUGGUUGAAGAAACACAACUCGAAACUGAAACCUUUGUUUCUGACAGGCAUGCCACCAUUGCCAAACACAUGAGAGAAGAAGAAAGAAAGAUAAAACGUUAUUUUCAUCUUUGGCAUCUUAAAUAUAUGUCUCCAUAAACAUACAAUUAGCCAAUACUGUCUGCUCCAUCUAUCAAAGCAUAUUUGACAAGUGUCAAGAAACGUUUUUUGUUGCCUAGACACAUCUAAUUAUGACAUUUUGGAAAAAGUUAAUAAAACCUACAUGAGAGAUAAAACCAGGACAAAAAACAGGCUGGAAAACUAUUAGAUAUUCUAAUUUUACAGCAAAGUAACAAAAGUAGUAAUAUCAAAUAAAAAGAAUUGCUAAAAGCAAUGUUUCAGAGAUUUUAGCUUGCUUUGUUAGUUUGAAAUUAAAGAAAUUAAAGGUUUUAAUUUAUAGUCAAUUCCUUUUAGAAAUAAGACUCUUGACAAAAUUGCAAAAACUGUAGGCUGUUCUGGAGUUUCUGACUGGAUUCAGCCCUGCAUCAACCACCUGCAUUGGAGUGCAGUCACAACACAAGGUGGUGAUGGAGCCUUGAUAAUGACAAUGUUCAAAUCCUUUUGAUCGCAUAUUAUUGAAGUACAUGAUAAGUGACAGAACAUGGCUUGAUAAAGGUAUUGCAGUCAUUUAUUGUUUUCAAAUAUUUGGGGUAUCCAUUUCCAGUAUAUCUAUCCAACACCCCCCUCCCACCACCAAUUAGAAGCUCAAAUGCUGGAUUCAAACGAAGUUUGAACAUCAUAUUUAUUUCCAUUUUCACUUAGUUGGUUUAUUUUUUUGCAUUUACUGAUUCUUCCCCAUCUAUAUUCCCUGCUUCUGAACAUGCCUGCUUUUCUAAUCUUCUUAUUGAAUUUGACUGAUAAAGAAAUUGUUUCUUCUUCAUUUAAGAAUCUCCGGCAUAUAAAAAAUUGAAAGCUGCAUUGACGAAUACAAGAUUGAUGAAUGGAAUCAAACAGGCAGAACCUCUCACACAAACUAGUUGCAUAGUGGCAUUCCACUCAGUCCUGAACCAUUUUGCACCAAAAAUGAUAGGUUUCUCUUAUGACGGGUUUCCACUUUGGCGAAUCUGGUCACACGAUCGCAUGACUGUUCUGGGCAUGCACAAGUAAACCAGUAGCAGUGAUUCCCCAUUGCCCUGGCGAUCGCGCGACUGCUUUUGGGAGUUGAAUAGAUUUUGACUUUUCUGCGACCAGAUUCUCACGAACCAAUUAGACGCUUUGUUUACUUGUCUGGUUUAUGUAAAAUGCCUCAUUGUUUAAGGUUUAUUGUUUUCUUUGGCGCUUAUCCAAAAAAUCAACUCCACGAUCUUCUACGCUGAGAAAAAGUAUCUUGAAAAAGUAUGGAAAAAAUAACAAUUAAGCCAGAAGUCAUGUUGAUUUUACGCCAGUUUCAGCAAAGUCAAUCUCCUACAAAAAAUUCAAAUUAUCUUGCGUUUGAAAAUGAAAGCACGGGCGAUACAAUUGUCGAGGAAGAGACGGAAUCUCAGACGGAAUGGUCUGAAAAUUAUUUAUUGAGGAACUUAAACAAUAUCGUUGUUUUCACAUUUUCACAGAGAAAUCAAAGUUAAAUUCUAGGAAUCUUAGGAAUACAUCAACUGACCUAAGGCUACCAAAGAAAAACUCCAAAAAUGGACAGAAAUGCUUUUCGUUUAGAGGUGCUAGGUCUUGGAAUGGCCUUUCAGCUGAGUGUAAACAGGCAUCUUCCUUGACCAACUUCAAAAGAAUUUUGCGAAAUUGUUAAUAGGCGUAAUUGUAAAUUGUAUAUUGGAAAUUACCAUUUCGCCUUUCGUUAUAGAUAUUUGUAGUAAAAUUAAACUCAAGUAAAAUAGGAUUUUUUUAGAUGGUAAAUAUUGAAUUGUAAUUAGCCUAAUUAGUUUUUAUAAUAAUUUCUGUAAGUAUUUUAAGUGGAGGGCCCCUUGAAAAUCAGCAUUGCUGAAGGGCUACCCUCCUUAAACAUUUGAAAUGAAAUGUAAUAAAAUGUUUCUGGGAUACUUCAUGCCGUUCUUAUAAAGGUGGCCCUAAAAAGCAGCAAUCUUGGCAGGAACUGAGUCAGAAAUUUGAAAAAGAGGGUAACUUUUGAUUUUUUUCUUCAAUUUUCAUGACAUGUUUAGGCCUACUCUACACAAUGUAAAAUCGUACUUCCUUCUGCAUUUCAUCAGUUUUCACAGCCUUUUGGCUCCCUUCCUUUGUCAUCGUUUGUAUUUUGUUUUCAAUGUGUGUUUCUGGCUCACUAACAUUGAAUUUUAAUGACAAACAUACUUUGCAGCAUCUAUUAUACAUACAUACAUACAUACUAUCACUAAAAGAUCGAAAACGUCGAUAUUGAGUUCUAAGGAUUUGCAUUUUUUCGAAUUCUGAUUAAUUUGGAAUUCUGAUUUUCCGAGGACACCUUAUAGAAAGUUUGGAAAAAUCUGAAUGGUUCUUCCUGAGAGUCCUCAGGAAAAAUGGUUCUUCCUGAGAGUCCUGCCAGCAGGACCCACCCCAGUAGGAGGUAGUAGAUCCAAAUCAAACUCCGGAAAAAGGAAAUUGAAAAACCUUUAUCGAUUCCUAUUAUGCCAUGCUAAUUGAAGCCCUGAAGGAUGAUGGUGUACCAAAGGCAAAGGUGUUUGAUGCAGACGCUAGCUUUGCAGAAACAUUGUACCAAUUUUGAAGAAGCUCCCAGACAAGCAGAACAGACAAGCAGAACAGACAAGCAAAAAUCAAAAUACAACAAAUUCUUCAAACAUGUAGAAAAUAAUUUUCUCACGUCAUCUUAGUCCUCGUUAUUAACAAAUAUAUUUAUUUCUAUGCAUCAUUUAUAUAUAAAUUAGGCUGGUUCUCCGAAAAUUUAAGUCUUUUCAUUGAAGCUGUCCUGUCUGUCCCUUGCAUAGAAAUGGGCCUAAGUAAGGCUACAUUACUUGAAAACUUGAAAAAUAUUUAUGCUGAAUAUUGCUCACCAUUGGUCUAAAGAAAUAGCCAAUUUCAAGUGCUUUUCGAAUUCAUGGUACCUCUUCUGAUUAGAUACCUUUUAGCUCGAUAGUUUCGCAACCAUUCCUCCUCAGCUAGUGGUUCAUCAGCAUACUGCUCAACCCAGUCGGGAUCACUGAAACUGUUGAUUUCAGAGGUUGUAAUUGGGCCAGAGAUGUCCAUAUAUUCGACCUCAGACUGUAAGAAUGUUGUUAGUUGUGCAACUGUUGUUACAUAGAGUAGAUACAAGGUGCCCAUGAGGUGACAACGAGAUUAUUUCACAAAUGGCUUGAUAGUGCUUUUCCAGUUUUUUUUACAACUGCUACACAGUUUUUCACUGUAAGUCAGUCGCACUAUUUCAUCUACACCUGGUUGUGUCAGCCAGUGGUCACAUUGGAAAGGGUGGCCUAGGCCAAGGUAGGCAAGAAAUCACGACAAUGGUAGUAACAAAUUGCUUCCAAUCUUAUCCAAAGAGGAUCAUCAAUUUAAUCAGACAAAUCCAAAGCAUACUAAUAAUCAAAUUUUUCAAAAUUCUAAUAACUCAAAAAUGACAAUUGCAGUUGCCUUUCCAGAAAGCAGCGAUUGGUGUUGUUUUGUGCUACGGAAUCAAUGAAAUUUGGUUCUAGUUUCCACCUCACGAGCAAUUACCCAGGUCUCAAGAGACAAACACGGUUUAGUGCAAAUUUGAGCCCCAUUUGGUGGUGGUUUUACUUUUUUUCUAAAGGCCUGAUGAAAUUUUAAUGGCUGUAUCCGUAAUUAGCAUGUUCUAAUUGUACAUUAAGCCUAUUUUUAGAUUCGACCAUAGUUCCACUUUAAAAGAAAAAAGGAACCUGAUUUGAACAUUCAAUACUCAUAGGGUAUAAAUAAUAUGAUUUACAAAAAGAAAAUAGAAUAAUCCUCAUCAAUAUUGGCCGGAAAAGUCCAUCUGGUUGUGGGAAUGGGGAAGGCAGCAGUUUGUGGCAAACUUCCAGUGAUAGCAAGCUCAGGUCGUGUAAGCUGUCGGAGGAAAGUUGUUUAUGGUUGUUUGCAGUUUCUCCAUCAUUUUCAUUUUUUAGCAUCCGCUUCCUGUAUCUGUGAAGCAAUUUCUGUAAACACCGCCUGGCCUGUUUAGAUAACCUCUUUUUGAAAUAUAUAUAACGAGUUCCGAUGGCUGGAAGGCCACCAAAUUUUCGUGACUUUGAUUCUUGAAACUCCGAUUGGCUAAGAUUGUCUUCUGGUAAAGAGUUGUUCAGCAGAUUGCUAUUUUCAGUUAUAUACUUGUCACUAGCUCUACCAUUCCCACCAUUAGUGAUGAAUAAAAUUACACCUUGGGGCAGAUGCUAAUUAUAAAUUUGACAGUGUUGUGAUGUUUAUAUGAUAACCAAAUUUAGACAUGAGCUUUGAGGUUAGAUAUUAAAUUUAAAACUCAAAGCAAUCCAAUAUAACUGCAAUUUUUGUCUUAAAUAAUCUGCAAAAAUAGGGUUCCUUCAAUAAGUUGAUCUCUCUCAGGUUAUUUUAUCAUAUUCUUUAUUCUGUAAAAUGGGACAUCUAUCUAUUUGUGAAAUACCUUUGACACUACUCCAUUUGAUAUAUAAAAACCUGUAAGCAACAUCUUUCGCAUUAAGCUUCAUCCAAUGUUUGCUCAGAGUAAGGUUCGUUUCUUGAAAGCGAGCUAAAGCAGCAUUUGCACUAACUGUUAUUACUUGUAAACAAAAUUUAAAAAGUAGCACGAGGAACUUCUGAUUUGUAAGCCCUGUGUAUAAAAGGGCCUUUUAGUCAGAGUUUUAGUCAGGUUUCUAAAUUCCCUUUUGUGUUGUUCUAGCCACGAUGACGUUUUUGUCUUUGUAAUCUGCAAAACUUUCAAUUGAAGAUUGCUUUCUCUUACCUGGACCUUUGCAGGUAUCAACAGAAAUUAUUUCAGGAGAAGAAGGGAGGAAAGUUAGAGGACAGAAAUGCUAGUUUUGCGACUGAAUGGCACAACCUCAAUAGAGUUCUAAAGUGUGACGUCACCAAAAACCUAUUUUUAGAAUUUUUGAAUUUUCCCACAUAACAUAAAAGAUCACCAUGAAAUAAUUCCAGGUAUGCAAAAUUAGUCAAAUUUGUCCAAAAUCAGUUGAGAUAUUGCAAAUUAAAGAUUUGAAGUUUGCUAACGAAUCACUGAUACUUUUGCUCUUUUCAUAAAGUUAUGAACAGAGACCAAAAUACAGAGGUUUAAUUGGGAAAGAGCUAAUACACAUGUGGCCAUAUCUCAGCCGAUUCGUAACACAUUUGGCUGAUUGUGCAUAUUUAGAGGUAUUUCAUGAUGCUCUUUCAGGCUAUUUGAGCCAAAUUCAAAAAUUGUAAAAAUAGAUUUUUAAGACAUCAUCACUUUAGAACUAUAAAAAGCAUUGGUAAGGAUUCGUCUUUCAAAAAUAGUAUGUAGCUAGUUUCACUCAUUCAACUUGAAUGAUUGUUUUCAUGACUUACCCAUAGCCCUUUGCUUGCAACAGAUUUCGGAGAAACUUGAGAUGGGCUUAGUGUCUAUGGCUACCGUAAAGUUACGACACACUUGCAGCAGAUCACGUUAUAUAAUAAAUCAGGCUAAAGUUCAACAUUACUGACUAAAAAUUAAGUUGACCCAUGGGGCUUAUUAAUUUGCAAUGUUUUUGCAACAUAAAAAUUGUGUUGUGGUGAAUAUGCUUUGUUUGUUUUAGUUUCUUGUUUAUAGAUGUUCAUUGGCUUAAUCAUGCAUUGUAAAAUUUAACAUGUAGGGGUAGGUUUCUUUUACUUCCUAGUAGGGGCUAAUUGGAUGGGGCAUAUACAGGGGGGGGGGGCAAUUCGAUUAUAUUAUUAGAUCUCUCUGAAUUUUUGUGAGCACUUAAACUGGAUAAUUUUUUGCUGGCAAAGGAAAUAUAAAAAUAAUAAAAACAAUAAUAAAAGCUUUGCCAUUUUCAGAGGUUUAUCAAAUAUUUGUAUCCACAACUCAAUUAAGAAACAAACAAAAAAGGCAGAGGGUAGACACUAUUAAAACGUUUUCUGUCUGUACCACCAAUUUUAUAAUACUUUAUUGUUAACUUUUCACUUUUACUUCAUCUGAGGUGCAAGUUUGGUAAUUGCAAUUUGAUUCGACUUGCAAAACCAAAAGAAUGUUGCUGUUGCAGUGACCUUGCGGCUGUCAAUGUUUGUCUUUCAGACAAAUAAAUUCUGGCAGAUCUCAAUGAUGUACCAAAAUGUGUAACUGAGCACCCAGCAUUUGAACCAGUAAUUCUUGGUAAAUGGUCUCUAAGGCAGGCAGCAGAUCGAUACAGGACAAGAGCAAAAAGCCAUUACAAAAACACUUGUGAUGAAAAUUAAUUUCUUCGUGCUAUCUCCUAUAGAGAACAAGGCUGGUGCAUGGCAGCAUAGGAAACAAAAGAAUCCCUCUCCCAGCCUGUGCUUACAACAAAAUCAGGCAGAAAUUUCCUUCUGAAGAGAUGACAGGCCAUGAGUCUGAUAGUGACUGAGUGGCAGACAACGUUAUUUUACAUUUUUAACCAAAGUUUGGUAAAGGUCUGUAAGAUCAAUCAGACAAUGUAAGCUGCUUCAACACUCUUUGAUGAUUUAUGGUCAAGACAAAAAAAGAAUUGAGUUCCGCAUAAAAGCAAACUUAUGUUACCUGAAAGGCAAACCACUUCUGAGUUAGUUUUAGCAAAAUCCAGCUUUUUUCUGACUCAGUUAAGGGAUUUAUUUACUGUUUUUUGGACAUGUCAAAAUGUUUUGGUGACCUCUCAUUGAGUUAUGAUAGAUAGAACAUUGAGGGGGUGCGCGCCGAUUUUGCUGUUGUUUCUGGCUCGCUUCAUCAACUGAAAAGAUAGAAAAAGAACGAUUCAUAUAGUUAGAGCUUUCAUUGAUUAUCAUGGUAAAAUGUUAAAAAUAUGGUUGAAAUCUGCUUUCACAAAUAAAGCAAAUUUUGUACCGUGUGUUGUUGGAGCCGGAACAGUCACUGCUGAUUAUUGGGCAAAAUGCUUCUCAAUGGCAGCGAACCUAUCUUCCUUUCUUAUUGUUGCAGACAUUGUAUCAGGGGCAAGUUUAUUUGAAUGUUCAACUGUAGCAUCCAGGUUGUUAGCAGCUAUGGCAUCCACUAAUGUCUCAUAAAUAUCAGGGAGGUAAUCUAUGUUUGGGAAUACAAUGGCAGUACUAAACUAUUGUGUUACCUAUUUUCAUUGCUGAUUCUAUUGUUUGAGUGUAUUCUGGAUUUUCAAAUAUAAUUAAUGAAUUAUUCCAAAUUGAGAUAUGACUAUUCAAUGAAUAUACAGAAUUAUAUGCUAGUGAUCUUCAAAUGCUCAUACCAAAUCUUUGUUUCACUUUGACUUCCUUGACAGUUGCUUCUCUAUUAUUGAAUUUUGGGUAGGUGACCUUAACUUGCGGUGUACCAGAUCCAUCCUGUGUUGUUCGUACAUCACCUGCAAGUUUAAAUUGAAGUGAACAAUGGCCAAAAUAUGUCUUAAUAAUAUAAGAAUAUUUAAGCGAACGAAAGGGUAUAAAUAAUGAUCAUGCCACUUUAAUUAUCUCAACACAUUCUUGAAAAGUGAUAUAUCACAAGGUUAAAUAUAUGUGUUUAAUUCAACCUACCUAAUCAACAUUCCUGUAUAACUAAAAGCAAUCAUUUUUAGAGCAAAAUUGUUCAAUACUGAGGGAAACUCUCGAGUGCACUGGUCUGCAAAAAUGGAGAUGCCUGUUUGAUCCCAUUUUGAAGGCUCUUCUUGGUCAAGACCUGCCUCAGCUUUCCAUAUACAAUUGUAUCUGUCCUGUAGAGAGGUAGUGCAUAAAAACAUGCACAUGUGUCAAAUUUUUGUAUAUUAAUCAUAUGGUAAUAUCUAAUAGAAAAACAAGUUGGCAAUAUAAGUAUGCUAUCUAAUAUAGGAAGAUUUACCCUUCAAGCAGUCAAAGUAACUUGUUUAAUAUCUUCUAGGGGAGAGCCUAGUGUCUGUAUUAGAUUCCUUUAAGGGAAAAGAAAGAUAAAAAACAGUUACCAUAUUUGACAAGUUUUUGGUAUAAUUUCUCUAGGUAGACAAAACAAGACCAAAUCAAACAUUUUACCUUUUUCUAGCCAUUUUCUCUCUUCAAUGUCGUCUCCAUGUGCACAAUAGUCAAAAGUGGAUCUUCAAAACCAGUAUGCUCAUCCAAAAUGUUCCAAAGGAAUGAAACAAAUUUUGCCCAGAUGAUAUCUCCAUUGCCAUCAUGUGUUGAUGUAGCACUACAGUACAAAUGCCUUUCGCAAGCUUUGAUCCAGUCUGCUCCAUUACAUUUGAUCCAUGACAAGUCUCCACAGUCUUUGGUAUUUUAAAUGCGAAGAAGAAUCUUUCAAAUUUUUUAACAUAAAUGAGAAGAUUCCUUAAGUUCAAUUAGCAAUUAUUGUCUUAUGUUCAAGGAAAAGGCUAGGGUUGCUGAACUACAAUAUAAUAUUUACUUUGCAUUAAGUGGACUAAUUGAGGAUUAACGGUGGAGUGAGAUUGGCUUAUUUGGCAAUGGAAAUUAGCAUAAUCAUAAAGCAACUUGGACUGGAAAAAUCAUUCUGCAUAGAGACCAUUAUUGCACAGAGUGUUGGACUCUAGUGACCAAUUUGCAAAUAAUCUCUAAACAACACCUACUUUUUUUAAAUGCCAAAUACCAAAAUAAUGGGAGACAUCUUUUCGCUCCUCUCUGAAGUAUUUUGCGAUAGACAAGUGUCUGUCAGAGAUGAAUGUUGUCACAUCAAGUCCAUUGUUCUCUAGAAACUGAAAGCUUCGCUUGAAGCCCUCCAGCUCCAUGGCAGUACUACUUCCAACCUCAAUGUGCUUUUAUUGAGUAUAAAAGAUAAAUACUGUGGAUAAAAGAAAACAUCAGAAAUUAAAAAUUAGCUUUUAUGUUAAAAUGUUAUAAUGAGCUGUGAUGUAUUUUGUUGUUAUCAAAGAGGAAACUGAAUCAGUUAAUGUAUAAAUGAUGAAAUAAAGAAUUUACCACAAAUUUUAUGAUUUUAAUUAUUUUAUACUCACAGAAUAGUUGAUAGUCAUUGAACCAUAUAGUCAAAGUUUUCUGUGAACACCAUUUGUUAGAAUCAAGAAAAAGAAAGAUACCUGAACAAGAGAAACGUGUAUGAUUUGUGAUGUAUUGCAGCAGAAUAGGCUGUAAGCUCCAAACUUGGCACUAUGACCCAUACUGUCAUGCCUUCCAUCCCCAGAAACCACCAGUUGUUCUCCAGAUUCUGUUUAUGAUGAAACCAUUCUCUUUUUGGGUAUCUAUCCAGUAUUGGUAGACCACUGGGAAAAGCCAGUCCUAAAAAGUGAAGGGGGACAUUGUUUCUUUUUAAACCACCUCACGUUCUUGCAAGUUAUUGCAUUUCGUUUCUACACACAAACAGCUUGUCAUCCAAAUGUAAACAGUGAGCAGGUUUUUAAAAAUGUAAAUACUGUUCACCUUUUGAUGUUUGAAAAAUGUUGAUAACGAGAUGCAGACAAGACCCAUAUGAUUAAAGAUGUGUGGAACCUUAGUAGCUGAACCACCACCAACAAGUAUUGCAAAAAAUAAAAGGAGGUUUGCAGCAGGAAUCUUUGUGCAAGGAAAAAGGAGUUGACUUUGCCUUUUUUUUCAUUUCCUAAACAGUCUUCAUUCUGACAAACAGUCUUCACCUCAAUCAUAGUUCCAACUCUCUGCAUGGUAGUUUUUGGGUCAUCUGAUUUGCACAGAGGGCAGAAUCUGAACAGAAGAAGAAGCUGCGAUAAGAAGACAAUAAAUUUGGGUUCCUUUUGAUGAUCAGAUUUCUCCUCACUGAAAAAUGAAACAAAAUCCAGAUGAGCUGAAGAGUGAGGAAUGGUUACAUUGCAACAUUUGCUCUGAUAAGUACUGAAAAAAUCUACCUUUAUAACACAAUGUUUGGACCAGCAUUUAAUAAUAUUCCCCAGAUUUUAGGAUUUUGAAAAAUCUUGAUGUUUUGCCUUUCAAGCUCUUAAAAAGACUGAUUGAAAUCAAAUUCAUAUCAUUUUACAACCUUAUGUCAUCAUCACUUCCCAUCAUAUCCAACAGCUUGGGACUCUGUUUCUUCCUCGACGUCAAAAUCGUCCUCUGAUUCAGAGAUAUCCUCCAUUGAUUACACUGGUGACUCUAAAUUGGCAAAAGACGCGCACUAAGAUCUGUCGGCAUUUCUGACCUCUUCAACUUCAAUAAUAUUCCUAAAAAUGAAAAAUUCCAGUCUUGUUGAAACCAGGCAAUAUAAAUUUUCAUAAUUUGUUAUUGCAAAAAAGGCUAAUAAUUGUUGCAGAUGUAUUUAAAAUAUCUUUAUCCCAGCAAAUAAUUAUAUUAAUUUUUAUCUUGGAAGUUGCUAUUUUCAUUAUCUUCUCACUCAAAGCAAAUAUUGAUCCUAAUCAUUUUGCAUUUAUUGAUACUAGUUUUUCUUUACUUACCAUUUUUAGUCUCAAUUUCUUCCUUAAGUUUAUGAACUUCAGACUUCUUGGCUAUCCACAUGUUGCGUGUUCUCCUGUGUCUGCUCAAAAGCCAUUUACAACUUACACAACCAGGCGUCUGACUUGCAAAAUCCUCCAUCUAUAAAAAGAGGAAGUCUACAUGUAAAUGUAAUAAUUCAAAGCAUUGUGCUUGGCAUAUAUUGUCAUUUCGACUUCUAGUGAAAGAAUUUCAGUCCAAGAGGUCACAUAUGAAGCAACGCAAGUCAUAAAAUCGUCAAAAAUCACCUCUGGUAAUUCAUUCAAACAUGCAUGCAUACACAAAGACAAACAUUCAUUUCUGUAGGUUAACUUCUCAACAACAAAAUAUCCACCUUGGUGCUAUUUCCAUCCUGUGCUAGAUUGUUUGAUUAUCAUGUUCUAUGUAUUCAUCUUCGGUAUUAUUAUCAUCAUCCUCAUCAUCACCAUCAAAGUCCUCUUCUUGUUCCUUGUUGGCUUUUUUCAUUGCAUUUCUAAUGAACUGCAAGAGAAAAAAGAAAGAUUAUUUCAAAACUUGAAGUAAUUUAGCCAAGAGUUACACUAGAAUCUAGAAAGAAGCAUGCUGACAAUGUUAAUGCUAAGGGUUUACUGAACCAUGCCAAAAAAAUAAAUUCCUGCUCAAGCAUAACAUGAAUUUAACAAUGUUUUUUUGAAGUUUUACCAAAUUUGUAGCUGUAUCCUUUGAAAAACUAUCAAAAUACUGACAGCUUCUAUCCAAAAUUAGAGUCACCCUGCUGAUAGGAUACCAUUUUAAUUUUUUGGGGGAGGUUCUGCCAAAUUCAUUCCAUAUUAGAAGAGCUCAAAAAUUCAAAUAAAGAAAUUUUGCAAUUGAAACACACUAAGUAUAGCUUUAGUGCUAAUAUUAACUAUAAAUAUUUGAUGGACUGCAAAUAUUGGCAUGAAUCUAACAUAUGCUUUUGUAAACAUUUUUUUAUACAGAUUAUAGAACAUUUUUAUCAAGAUAUGGAAUACUUGUACCGUGUGCCAAAGUGUACGAUGAGUAAAAUUAUCCCAGAGACGUGUGAGGCUAUAUAUGAAAGUCUGAAAGACGAUUACUUAAGGGUAACAUAAAACGUCUGAAAGACGUUACGAUAAGCUUAGUUAUUGAAUUUUUUCAAGAGAAAGUCUUUCUGUUUCCCAAAAAGGUUUUUAAGAAGAUUUUGAUGGUUUUUAUGACCAUUUGUAAUUCUCUUAUAUUGUGGGAUUUGAUCUCCUAAAGACUUGCUAGAUUCUGCUGUACUUAAUUCAUUUAAACAGAAAACACAUUAUUUGUAGGCUACAAAAUAAGUUAAAUUCUUUUUCAUCCAUUAGACACUGGCAGGAAAGUGCUACGGUUUGGUGUUAUACCCACAGAGAACUUGCCAGAGAAGUUCCACCCAUUGAAGCCGAUCAAAGAAUACAAACAUACAAGUGUAGUUCAAGACCGAGUGGUGGAACAGGCAAAAACUGAUUUGUACCAAAGUUUGGAAGAAAAAGUAAAAAGGGCUGCUAAACUUAAGAUUCCAGCUUGGCAACAAGAGUCAGUGAGUAACCAGCUGAGACUAAAGUUCUUUGAAGAAGAAUGUAUGAUUCCAAAAUUUGAAUUGGUAAUUGGCAACAAUUUGACAUACACAUUAUUCAUCUAUGGUUGGCUGCUGCCACAAGGUCAUCCAAUUUACACUGAAUCUGAACAAAAUUUGAAAAAUAUUACUGUCUCAAAGCUGAUUCGAAAGAUUGAGCAGCAUAAGAUAUGUGGGGGCAUUGCAAAACCUUCAAGUGAGUUACAGGCUCCUGCUAUUCCUUACAAAGUCAGUUUGCAAGAAAAAUCCAACCUUCCAGUGAACACAGUCAUAUACAACAGGCCAAAAGAUUGCUUCAUUCUGAGUGAAUCUUCAGAUCAAUGCAAGAUAUGCUUAACAGUUGAAAGGAAGCUUACCAAAGUAUUGGACAAAAAAACAACUAAGUUGUGUAUCCCUGCAAAGGCUAAAGGUCCAGUAUCCAUCACUCACCCAAGCCGUCUCAAAUUAACCCUUCAGGAACAUAGACUUAAAUGCAGUCAAUUGCAAAAACAAAUUGAUGAAAUGAGGCUGUCAAUAUAAUUAAACAGUUUUUCACUUGAUUCUGAAUUAGACCAAGAUGUGAAGCUUAUUAUUUCAAAUGCCGGGACAAAGCUUUCACCAUUUAUGAAGCUUUUUUGGGAGCAGCAACAAGAAGCUUUCAAUGUAAGAACAAUGCUAUUCGCUAUCACCCAAUGAUAAUAAGAUUUUGUCUGUCCUUGGCAGCAAAAUCAGCCUCAGCCUAUGAUGAAUUGAGGGAUUCAAAUGUGCUGACCUUGCCAAGUAGGAGGACUUUGCGAGACUAUAGGAAUGCAAUAACUCCUACAGCAGGAUUCAAUCCUAGUGUGAUAGAGGAGCUUACCAGAAUAACACGUAAUCUUGAAGGGGUUCAAAGAUAUGUGGUUCUUGGUUUUGACGAAAUGAAAGUGCAGUCAAAGUUAGUAUUUGAUAAACAUACUGGAUAACUGAUUGGUUAUGUGGACCUUGGUUAUCCAGAGAUCAAUUUUGCCACAAUUGAGAAGCAAGAUAACCUAGCUACUCAUGCCUUGGUAAUUUAUGUCAGAGGCCUUGCAUCUGACCUCAAAUACAACCUGGCAUAUUUUGCUACAAGUGGUGUAGCCUCAUACCAGCUCAUGCCUAUUUUCUGGAAAGCUGUUUCUGUUUUGGAAUAGGCCUGCAAGCUACCAGUAAUUGCUUCAGUAUCAGAUGGAGCUUCUCCAAACAGAAAAUUUUUCCGCAUGCAUGCCACUAUGGACCAAACCCCUGGGAAACCAGUGGUUUAUCGAUCCAUCAAUAUUUUUGCACCCAAACGAUUUCUAUGGUUUUUUGCUGAUGCCCCACACCUCCUCAAGACCGCCCGUAACUGCCUGUAUCAUUCUGGCACAGGAAAAUCUACACGUUACACGUGGAACAAUGGAAAGUACCUUCUUUAGCAACACAUAUGCCAGUUGGUAAAUGAUGAUAUGGACAAAGGUUUGAAGCUUUGUUCAAAGUUGUCAAGUUCACACACACAGCUAACCUCCUUUGGGGUAAUGAAUGUGUCAUUAGCUGCACAAGUUUUAAGUGCAACUACAGCAAACACACUUAAACAAUUUUAUGACAGUGACACACAUGGGACGGCAGAAUUUUGCAAAAUGAUGGACAUGUUCUUUGAUGCACUCAAUGUCCGAAGCACUAAGGAAGGUCAAUUUAAGCGGAAGGAGUUCCUACAGCCUUACACCAGUUUAAAUGAUGAGCGGUUUCACUGGCUUGAAAAUGUAUUUUUGAAAUAAUUGUCAGAUUGGAAAGCAAGCACCAUAUGCAGAGAUGGCAAUUUCAGUGGAAGCGCGAGGGACAAAAUGUUUCUGUCUUGGCAAACACACGAAGGCUUGCAGAUCGCUGUGUAUUCAGUCAUUGAAGCCACUAGGUUCCUUCUAACCAGUGGAAUGAAGUUUGUUCUCACCAGCCGCUUUAACCAGGAUGUUGUUGAAGAAUAUUUCAGUAGACAACGCUUUCUGGGUCGUCGUAGUGACAAUCCAGAUAUGCGAAUGUUGGGGUACAAUGAUAACACAAUCAGAAUACAAAGGUCAAUCGUACGUGUUAAAGGAAACACAAGAGGAGGACAUAUCCAAAAAAGACAAGUCUCAUGGUCAAUUGUAGAUGAAACAAAAUUAGCUAAAAGAAAACCUAAGUCCAGCUAGAUAAUGACACUUAAAUUAACUAAAAGAGAAACCACAGUUUAAUGCAACUAGUCUUGUUUAACAUACACCAGUACUAGAUAAUGUAGUUUUUUUACUGUUAAAAGAUUUUGUUGGGAAUUGCUCUGAAAAACCACAUAUCAUCAGAUUUUCUGAAACAAUUCGAUUUUAAAAUGUUAUAAUUUCAAAAUUCUCUCAGCUUUGACCUGCACCUAUCAUUGCUACAUGAAACUUGGCUCCAAGAGAAUUAUAAGAUAACAUUAAUAUUCUAAGUAACAUAUAAAACACUGAACAUUUUAGCAUCUUGAUACACCAAUAUCUGAUACACCAAUAUAUUUUCCUGCAAAACACUUUGCAGUAACAGCAUUGACAAAUUUCCUUCAAGGAGCUACAUUUAGGCUGAUUUCAACUGAAUAGUUUUUGGCAUAUAAGGUAAUUUAAGUUCUCUUUCACCAAGUAUUUAAACUGCACAAGUGACAUAGGCUGCCAUUACAAUUAUGUUUUGGUGCUUUGAAAACUGUGCAAGGGAUCACAUGUUUUGACAAAAAUCAUAAUUUGAUGAUUGCCCUUUGGAGAUCUAUUUUUUUCUGAUGGAAUGUAUGUAAAGUGGAGUGUAUUAAAAGUUAUUAAAUUAUAUUGGAUUAGAAGUUAUUACUACCCCUGUAAUUCCAAAUAUUUACGUAAUGCUUUGGAUUUUUUGCAAUGAAGUUGUAUGUUGGUUUUUGCAAAUGAAAAUGCCCUAACUCGCAAGUACAGCUGAAUAAGUUUUUCAAGGAGAUUCUUCUUUGUCUCUUUGUCCAUUUCACACAGGGAUCCUUCCUCCAUGGCACUGAAAGAACUGACCACAUCAACUCUUUCAACUAAAAUUUCUGUCAGCUUGUUGCAGUUGAUCUUGGUGAUGUGUCCAGAUUCUGUUGCCUUGCGGAACUCUUCUUCUACAUAGCUGAAAAACCUACAAAAUCAUUGUUCACUCCCCAUAAACCCCCUCUUGUUUGGCAUUGUAUUUGCUGUUGAGCUGAAAUAUCUUCCAGUCUCAAUGAAUUCAAAAAUGUUAACAUAGCUAUAGAGAUUUUGAUUUUUGGCUGUUUGAGACUUGGUGCAGUUUCUUAACAACAGAAUCCACAACAUAUCCUGCCAGAUAUUGUAAACCGAACAUCUCCUGUUCAGUGAUUUUCUUUGGGACUGCUAGUUGCUCUGCUAGUUGUCUUGAAAUGGGAGACAAUCUUGUCUGCUAGUUUAGUUGCAACCAGUGUGCACCCAGGAAAGGGUAAAUUUGGGAAAAACUUUUCAGCAUUCAUUGCAACUGAACCAUAAUACUCAGAAUAAAAUUUCUCGGCAUCUGAAUUUUUCCAAAGUCUGCUGCAAUGUUUCAACAAUUCCGUUCUUAGGUUUUCACUUUCUUUGUCAAACACAAACAUUUUAAUAGCAUUGCGAAGUUCAACUGGAUAGCAUUUAUCAGUCGCAAGGUCAUUCUUGGCUUCAUUGACCAACUGAACGAUGUCUGCACCACUGAAUUGUCCAAACUUAAAGAAAAACCGAAAGUCAAAUUUUGAAUAAUUAGCAUACGAUCAGUGUCAGAUUAGCAGGGAAUCUAGGUUGCUACGAAACUAGGUCUCUUUCCAUAUCUUCCAGUUUUUAUUUGCAACUAAUGCGAGCUAAGUUUCAAUUUUUCAAGUUUUGAAAUCUAUAACAAAGUCUUAGUAUUUCUCAAAUUUUAAGAUGCUUUUAGAUAGUUAAUAUGUACGUGGCCUUUUCUUGUUGCUAAUAUGACCUUAAGGUUUUCCAUUGGUUUGGACACGUAUCUGUCAAUACAUUCUGUAUAAUAUAUUUUGGUAACUAUGUUGCCAGGGACGGUGGAACGACUAAGGGGCAAGGGGCAGGCUUGAGUAAAAGGGCAUUCGAAAAAUAAUUCGCAGCUACUAACAAUUCGUUCGUAACCAUCAUUUUGUUUCGAUCUCAAUCAGGGGCGGCGCCGCUAUCUUUAUCAGCUUCACCCAUUCGUUACCUACCCCACUAUUUUUGGGCUGGCCGUCAUGAAUAAGGCAGUACCGUCAAAAACCUCUGUGAAAAGGGCACUUUGGCUACCCCUGCCCCUUCUGUCAAAAGCGACAAGGGCGGUUGACUCCCGCGCCCCUUUUUGGCGACACUGUAUGUCGCAGAUGGGUUUCAUUCUACAAUCGACUGCAUGCUAAAGACUGUAUGCUAAAGAAAAAAUGCGUCAAGAAAGACAAUUUAUUGCUAAAUUUAGGCUUAUAAUAUUGGAUUCAUUUGCAUUGAAUUGCUUUUGAUUUGUGCUGUUCCUACCUAUCAUUCAUACUUGUUGCUCUAGCUCUUGAUUUCCUCAGUAAGAUUCCAUGUUUAUCUUAUCUGUAUUAGCAUGGUUAUUACAACGGCAAUUACACUGGUGCAGUUUACAUAGACCUAAGUAAAGCUUUUGAUACCAUCAGCCAUUCUAUCCUGGUCGACACUCUACCUGAAUAUGGCAUCUUAGGGAAGGCUCGAGAUGUGGAUGUGCGAUUACCUGUUCUCAACAUCAGAACAGGUCUCGUUUCGAGGAAAAAUCUCAUCUGCGGAAAACACGGAGGAAAAUUGUAAUAUGCAAAAAUGGUGGCCAAAUAUCACGUGCAAUGUGUUGCUGCGCUGCGAUGCGUAGAGACGACACAAGAAAUGCAAGAUUAUUACUACAAAAAAAAUCCUCUACUUUGGUUUGGCAUAUUAUUUCUAUUAAUCAAAAUUAAUAGAACCUUCAGUACAUCAACAGAAGCAAGAAUUAUUAAUUUUUUGACACUAGUCAAUAUAACCAACAGCUUCAACUACUUACUGCUUCAAAGCUGAAAAGACAACAUCACUGGCCUAUAACAAUGCAGUGAACAUCAUACUUUUUAAAUGAGUUUUAUCUUGAAAACAAGGCUUGGCCACAUGGGGUAGAAAAAUAUGGUAGGCACAGUUUUUCUUCAGCUUUAAACUGGUAUAAGUGGUUUCUUCUAAAAAUGUUUUCCUAGAAGUGCGAGAAGUUACGCUGAAAAAUGAUACUUUUUAAACAAGUUGAAUCUUGAAAAAAAGACUUGGCCACAUAGGGUAGCGAAAUAUGGUAAGCACUUUUUUCCUUCAGCUUUAAACUGGUAUAAGUGGUUUCUUUCUAAAAAUGUUUUCCUAGAAACACGAAAAGUUUUAUUAUCACGCAGUUUUGUUUUACUUAUAUUUGAAGGGAAUCUCCCAAAAUCAAUUGAAUACCAGCUACCAGGGUGUACAAGCACCGCGGAGCGUUGCGAAAAGUGGGGGAUCUAAAAAAGUGCGAUGGCUAAAACCGAGUAAAAAAGGCUUUUAUGGUGGUGGUUCACUUCUAAAUAUUUUGUCUGGGGGUAAAAACAGAUUUAUAGGUCAAACGGACCUUAAUCUAACACGACAUAACAUGCCAGCCAAUCAAUGAUAUUGGUGGAUUUUCAAGAAAUUUCCGAGCUCUUGCCUUUUCCAAAUUUCAAUGGUUUCUUAAUCUUUUUCAGUACUGAAGUUUCUCAACAUUUUCUGACUGCCCAGUACUCGUUUCAUAUAAAGAGGUUCUUUUAAAAAAUGAAAGUAAAAAGGGAAGCAAGGCUUAUAGGUAUAGGGGUGCCGUCAUAGAAGGUUACAAUAUACUACAUAUCAACUGCAAUGGAAUAAGGUUACUUCCCUGUAUACUGGUGUUGAAAUAUGUCUUGAAAAAUGAUUCCAGGUAUUCGCAGAAUUCUAAAAAGUUGUUGCUGUCGCAUAGAGAAAUAACAGCACCAUUUGUGUAAUGAUAGUGGCUAUCCGGUAGGCAAAUGGUGUUGUUUUGGAUGCACAAUGCUACAGACUUGUCGCUUGGGCAAAUCAAUACACAUGCCAAAAUAGGGGCUGAAUCGCGAAGAGCCAACAGAUGUGUUGCCAGAUUGCUGACAUCAACAAUGCGUACGAUACAGUCUGGCAUGUACACCUGUAACUCGGAGUAUUGGAUAACCUCCUCGACCGGUAAUAGGAGCUGCUGCGCCCUAUACACUAAUAAUUUCAUAGAGCUUGUUUCCCUUCGUCAUUUUUUUCUUGUAAAUUUUGACAAUUACUGGAACAAAUGUUAAAGCAUCUCCCUAAAGAAGAAUCUCACCACGGAGAACAGAAGAACAGGCGAUUGUGGGGAUAACUGUACACAAGGAAAUUUGUUCUCCCCAUCCCAGAAGUCCAGACUGACUCAACUGACUUGGCAGCAAAUACUCAACAAAAUUGCCAACCACCCGCGCCUUCACUUCCUCCUCUUUAAAUCCUUUUUCUUUGCCAUUUGUCGUCGCAUGCCGUUUGCAUCUGCAUGAAUAAUCUUUCCCUUCUGCACUACAUAAAUUUUUCGUACACCUCGGACAAGAUCCGGCUCUUCCUCUUCUAUGUCCACGAUCGAGAUGAAUGCAUUUUUUGCAAUACAGCGGCUUUGAUUUUGGGACCUUAGAAUUGCAGUUGGCCGUUCUUUCUUGACCCUGAAAAUUGAUAUUUUUUAAAUUAAAGUUACAAUGAAUGGCCUGAGGCGAUAGACUGGAACUUUAGGUAAUUAACAGCUUGACAAGUACUGAGGUCUGGACCCUAGUCAGGACUUCAAUCACAUGACCCCCCACGUUGUAAACAGGCCCAAGUAUUGCUUUCACGCUUUCGUUUCGUUCAUUACUCAGCAGUAAUUUCAUUCGACAUAAAUAUAUUAUCUUGGGAUUGUUUUGUCUAUAGUAUCAUAUGUUUUGUAUACAGUUGGAACAUGUUUGUCUCUUUCUGUAUUUCACACAGCUAACUUCUUUUCCGGCAUGCCCCUAUACCCUGUGAGGGACAUCGAUCAAUGAGAACCUUAACUGUCAUGGAAAAAACAAAAUUUUAUUGGAUAACGAUCAAAUCUAUUUUGGGCACAACAAAAACCACUUGGAGUAUUUCUAGGUAAAAUAUACUUAAUAAAGUAGGUAUGUAAAAAGACUAAAUGUUCCAGCAACAAACAAUUUAGAAAACUUGCAACUUCCAAGGGCAUGGUCUUGGUUUAUCUAUUUAUACUCGAAGAUGCUAAAAUUUGUUGCAACUCACAUUAGUUGCAUUAUAUGGCUUCAAAUUGGCAAUGGUAUCCUCUUUCUCCUCUGCAAUCUCAUGAUUAUCAUCACUAUCCUGCUCCAUGUUUAUUGUUUCAAAUAUACUGUUUUGAGCAGUAGUCGCCAGAUUGCCAACUGUGGUUUUUAUGUGGCUUGAACAAAUUGGACAGAAUGAUGCACCUUUGAGACAUUUUAUACGGAACAAAUGGAAACAUCCUUCUAUCAAUUGCCACUCUUCACUGGUAUUUAGCAACGUACAGCCAGGCAUAUUACAGCAAAUGAAUGGAUCUGGUUGACUGUUUGUGUGGUAUCCGAAAGGAAAAGUAUUUGGAAAGUUGGUUGAGAGAUAGCGCAACAUAUUGCCAAGAGGAGAAUUAUCCAAGUCAGAAUCAUGAGUUUGAGACUCUGCAACUGAUUUUGGCUGAAUAUGUAGUUCUUAGGUAAAGUGAAGUUGGAGCGAGCAUUAUGCUGAGAUCUUUUUGAUUGGAAAACUGCUUUGGCUUUUUUCUGAAGCAUCGAAGCAUCAUCACCAUCAACAGUUUGGGCUCUAAUGAUAGAGUGAGUGUUUUCAACAGGGUAUUCGUCAGUAGUUGUAAUAUGCGUCUGUAAAAAUCGAUAUAAAUCUCGAUUGCUUUUUUUCCAAAUUAGAACGUUUGAGAGCCAUACGAGUGGUGCUUUGUUUUAAUGAUGUCGGCGAAAACAGUAGAACAAGACCCAGACAGAAAUCAUUGAAGAUAAGUACAUGGCAAAUGAGUUCAAUCGAAAAACAACGCUUUAAAUAGAGGAUACUGGUGGAAUGUAAUUGUCAAGGAGGUUGAGAAGUAUACCAUGCAAGGGAUGUUUGCAUUUGCGAAAAGAUUUUUUGAUAAAAGGACGAAUUAAAGUCCAGCCACCCUAGACAACUUCUAGGAGCAAUGAUGUUCUCCAUGGCUUUGGCUUAUCUGCUAACUUUUGUUUUGGAAAAAGACUUUCAUAGAUAUAUUUGAAGAAUGAAUGUAAGUUUUGCAUCAAAGUUUCUUUAAAAUUUAAAGAAACGUGAAGAGGACCUAACAUUGGAACAGCAGCCUGCAAAGGAUCGGUAAACUGUCUAUCAGAUGGAUCGGUAAGUCAUCACUUGUUCUUGGCUUUGCGUAAUGAUGGAGCCCUUCGUUUUCCCAGACAGGAGUGUUUGUGUUUUGAUUUGCAUAUCUUUCUCGACAAUUAACAGGAGGCUGGAAGGGACAUCUAGAAUAAGCAACUUUUCUUACGUGGAACUGAGCAGGCCAAUCUCCAGGGAUGAUCAAUGCAUAUUUUGUCAUGUACUGCCUCAUUUUUGUUCUUCCAAGUUCCAAGAAUUUCCAAAGCCAUUCUUAAAAGUCUGAAAUACUUUUCAGCUGAUGAAUGGUAAAUUCGAUCAAAUGAACGUUAUCAAGGCAUCUCAUCUUCCUCACAUUGUUUGACUCGCUAUACAUAUGAGCAUGAAGUCUAUUACGUUCUGCCUCUGGACUAAAGAAUUCUGUUGCAAACCAUUCUGGCAUUCGAUCGCAGAAAGUCAUUGCCAAGUUGUGCAUUGUCUGUUCACUGGAUAGUUCAUUUUGAAGAUUACAGACAUGGACACCUGAUGGGAUUUGAGGAGAAUUGAAUGACGUUAAAGGUGUAGCCACAAAUCUUCAAAGCAGUGCUACAGGGGAAUUUCCAACACACACCUAAGCCCAAAACCCAGGAACCACAGCAAAAAUCACAACUGGCUUUGGGCUUAAAUGAUGCGGUUUGCUACAAUAAAAUAUAGCAAAUCAACUCUAAAUCAACUUCAAAUCGACAAAAUAUAAAUGAAACGAUUAAGAAACUUACAAUAAUGCAUAUACAAAGAAUAACGAAGAAACUGAUACAAAUUACGAAGAAACUAAUAGAACAAGGUUACUGUUACUUACAAACUUUAUUUCCUUGUAGCUUUAAAGGCUCAGCAAACACAUAACCAAAACCACAGCAUGCUGCCAAAAAUACUUUUAUCCCGGUCUACUUUCGUUUCUUAUCCUUGUCUCUAACAGCCCCGAAAACAAGGCGUGCUUCGCUUUUAUAGCUACAAACAUGAAACCGAGGCUAAAUCCAACUACACUACGUGUCAC